UAUGUGUUGUUGGGUAGGGGAGCGUUCUGUAAGCCGUUGAAGGUGUGCUGUGAGGCAUGCUGGAGGUAUCAGAAGUGCGAAUGCUGACAUAAGUAACGAUAAAGCGGGUGAAAAGCCCGCUCGCCGGAAGACCAAGGGUUCCUGUCCAACGUUAAUCGGGGCAGGGUGAGUCGACCCCUAAGGCGAGGCCGAAAGGCGUAGUCGAUGGGAAACAGGUUAAUAUUCCUGUACUUGGUGUUACUGCGAAGGGGGGACGGAGAAGGCUAUGUCAGCCGGGCGACGGUUGUCCCGGUUUAAGCAUGUAGGCGGAGGUUCCAGGUAAAUCCGGUACCUUUUAACGCUGAGGUGUGAUGACGAGGCACUACGGUGCUGAAGUGAUAAAUGCCCUGCUUCCAGGAAAAGCCUCUAAGCAUCAGGUAACACGAAAUCGUACCCCAAACCGACACAGGUGGUCAGGUAGAGAAUACCAAGGCGCUUGAGAGAACUCGGGUGAAGGAACUAGGCAAAAUGGUGCCGUAACUUCGGGAGAAGGCACGCUGAUAGGUAGGUGAAG
rnacentral:rRNA from 1 species